rnacentral:rRNA from 1 species
CGGACGGGUGAGUAAUGUCUGGGGAAACUGCCUGAUGGAGGGGGAUAACUACUGGAAACGGUAGCUAAUACCGCAUAACGUCGCAAGACCAAAGAGGGGGACCUUCGGGCCUCUUGCCAUCGGAUGUGCCCAGAUGGGAUUAGCUAGUAGGUGGGGUAACGGCUCACCUAGGCGACGAUCCCUAGCUGGUCUGAGAGGAUGCCAGCCACACUGGAACUGAGACACGGUCCAG